CCUACGGGCGGCUGCAGUGGGGAAUAUUGGACAAUGGGCGAAAGCCUGAUCCAGCCAUGCCGCGUGUGUGAAGAAGGCCUUCGGGUUGUAAAGCACUUUCAGUGGGGAAGAAAGCCUUGGGGCUAAUACCCUCGAGGAAGGACAUCACCCACAGAAGAAGCACCGGCUAACUCCGUGCCAGCAGCCGCGGUAAUACGGAGGGUGCGAGCGUUAACCGGAAUUACUGGGCGUAAAGCGCGCGUAGGCGGUCUGAUAAGCCGGUUGUGAAAGCCCCGGGCUCAACCUGGGAACGGCAUCCGGAACUGUCAGGCUAGAGUGCAGGAGAGGAAGGUAGAAUUCCCGGUGUAGCGGUGAAAUGCGUAGAGAUCGGGAGGAAUACCAGUGGCGAAGGCGGCCUUCUGGACUGACACUGACGCUGAGGUGCGAAAGCGUGGGUAGCAAACAGGAUUAGAUACCCCGGUAGUC
rnacentral:rRNA from 1 species